rnacentral:rRNA from 1 species
AGUAGUUUGAUCCUGGCUCAGAUUGAACGCUGGCGGCAUGCCUUACACAUGCAAGUCGAACGGUAACGGCGGGGCAACCUGGCGACGAGUGGCGAACGGGUGAGUAAUACAUCGGAACGUCGCCCAGUAGGUGGGGGAUAGCCCGGCGAAAGCCGGAUUAAUACCGCAUACGACCUACGGGUAGAAAGCGGGGGAUCGCAAGACCUCGCGCUAUUGGAGCGGCCGAUGUCAGAUUAGCUAGUUGGUGGGUAAAGGCCUACCAAGGCGACGAUCUGUAGCUGGUCUGAGAGGACGACCAGCCACACUGGGACUGAGACACGGCCCAGACUCCUACAGGUGGCAGCAGUAGGGAAUAUUGCACAAUGGGCGAAAGCCUGAUGCAGCAACGCCGCGUGUGCGAUGAAGGCCUUCGGGUCGUAAAGCACUUUUCUGGGAGAUGAGCAAGGACAGUAUCUCAGGAAUAAGUCUCGGCUAACUACGUG